AUUGAACGCUGGCGGCAGGCCUAACACAUGCAAGUCGAACGAGUGGCGGACGGGUGAGUAAUGUCUGGGAACCUGCCUGGUGGAUGGGGAUAACUUCUGGAAACGGUAGCUAAUACCGCAUACCAUCAGAUGUGCCCCGAUGGUAUUAGCUUGUUGGUGGGGUAACGGCUCACCAAGGCGACGAUCCCUAGCUGGUCUGAGAGGAUGACCAGCCACACUGGAACUGAGACACGGUCCAGACUCCGACGGGAGGCAGCAGUGGGGAAUAUUGCACAAUGGGGGCAAGCCUGAUGCAGCCAUGCCGCGUGUAUGAAGAAGGUCUUCGGGUUGUAAAGUACGUUCAGCGGGGAGGCGUUACCCGCAGAAGAAGCACCGGCUAACUCCGUGCCAGCAGCCGCGGUAAUUC
rnacentral:rRNA from 1 species